CAGCGUGCCCACGUCCCAAGCAAGCACAGUGAGGUGCUGUGGCAGCUUCCCUGUGGUGACAGAACCCGGCAGUCGGCAGGGGCAAGCAGAGCAGAAUCUUUCAGCGAGUUGAAGAGAGGAGCAGUUGGAGUGCUGACAAAAGCCUCAGUGGGUGACAAAGACCAUCGGUAGCUCUGAGAGAGCGUGGCUGCCUUUGAGGAUGCACUGUGAAGAGUGAUGGUGACCCAGAGUACUGCAGAUGCUCAACUGAUGGGCAAAAAGACUGUUUGUGCUGCCGUUGAGCGCAGACCAAAGGCRUCUUCCGGAUGAGCGCAGUGUGAGAGGCAGUGCAGUGCGCGUGUUGGAAAAUGAGAGCGGACAGCUCCCGCCUGUCUGUGGUUUGCAUUGCAGCUUCAGUUUCUUUUACUCAGGUCCUAGUACUGCGCCCGUUGUUUGUGCUCCCAGAGCACAUCCUGCACUGCGGGGCGCUGGUGCAGGAGUCAUCCAUUGUCUUUUGCCAUGCCUCAGCAGCGUUGUGCUGGUGGAUGGCAGCUUGUUCUGUGCGGCCAGAUGAAAUGAGCUCUGUCAUUUAUGACUGGACAUCUUUGCAGCCCUCRUCGUGGUCUCAUCUGUAACUGCUGUUCUGGGGUUUUGCUCCGCCGCCACUGUGGGCUCUUGUGCCUUCCUUCACAGUUUUAUUUCCUGUGUUGUCAAAGUCUUAGGCCUUGUUGGCUUCUUCUGCAUUUCUCUUCUGGACUUCGCU